rnacentral:rRNA from 1 species
AUUGAACGCUGGCGGCAGGCCUAACACAUGCAAGUCGAGCGAGCGGCGGACGGGUGAGUAAUGUAUGGGGACUGCCCGAUAGAGGGGGAUAACUAAUGGCAACGGUGGCUAAUCCCGCAUACUAUCGGAUAACCCAUAGGGGAUUAGCUAGUAGGUGGGGUAAAGGCGCAACUAGGCGACGAUCUCUAGCGGGUAUGAGUGGAUGAUAAGCCACACUGGGACUGAGACACGGCCCAGACGCCUACGGAGGCAGCAGGGGGGAAUAUGGCACAAUGGGAGCAAGCCUGAUGCAGCCAGGCCGCGUGUAUGAAGAAGGCCUUAGGGUUGUAAAGGACUUGCAGCGGGGAGGCGUUACCCGCAGAAGAAGCACCGGCUAACUCCGUGACAGCAGACGCGGUAAUAC